ACGAUUUUUUCUUCUUUUCCAAGAUUUUUUCUCAUUUUUUUUUAUUUACCUUCCACAAUCAACUCAAAUUGUUAUACAUUCUCUUUCAUAAAAAAAGAAGGUAUUUUAACCAAAAUAAAACUCUCUACCUCCUCUAUUAUGAAAGUUUGUACAAUUAUUGAUAUGAACAAUGUUUCAAUUCUAAUUCAAUACAACAGACGAUGAGAUGCAACAAGUAUGUGUUGAUAAAUACGUUGAAAUUG
rnacentral:lncRNA from 1 species